UGGGGAAUAUUGCACAAUGGGCGCAAGCCUGAUGCAGCAACGCCGCGUGAGGGACGACGGCCUUCGGGUUGUAAACCUCUUUUAGUAGGGAAGAAGCGAAAGCGACGGUACCUGCAGAAAAAGCACCGGCUAACUACGUGCCAGCAGCCGCGGUAAUACGUAGGGUGCGAGCGUUGUCCGGAAUUAUUGGGCGUAAAGAGCUCGUAGGCGGUCUGUCGCGUCUGCUGUGAAAACCCGAGGCUCAACCUCGGGCCUGCAGUGGGUACGGGCAGACUAGAGUGCGGUAGGGGAGAAUGGAAUUCCUGGUGUAGCGGUGGAAUGCGCAGAUAUCAGGAGGAACACCGAUGGCGAAGGCAGUUCUCUGGGCCGUAACUGACGCUGAGGAGCGAAAGCGUGGGGAGCGAACAGGAUUAGAUACCCUGGUAGUCCACGUCGUAAACGUUGGGCGCUAGAUGUGGGGACCAUUCCACGGUUUCCGUGUCGCAGCUAACGCAUUAAGCGCCCCGCCUGGGGAGUACGGCCGC
rnacentral:rRNA from 1 species